CUUUCCUACGGGGGGCAGCAGUGGGGAAUAUUGGUCAAUGGGCGCAAGCCUGAACCAGCCAAGUCGCGUGAGGGAAGACGGCCCUACGGGUUGUAAACCUCUUUUGCCGGGGAGCAAGCCUGAGCACGUGUGCCCAGGCGGAGAGUACCCGGAGAAAAAGCAUCGGCUAACUCCGUGCCAGCAGCCGCGGUAAUACGGAGGAUGCGAGCGUUAUCCGGAUUUAUUGGGUUUAAAGGGUGCGCAGGCGGGCUGUUAAGCCGGCGGUAAAAGCCCGGGGCUCAACCCCGGGCCGCGCGUGA
rnacentral:rRNA from 1 species